rnacentral:rRNA from 1 species
AUACGGAGGGUGCAAGCGUUAAUCGGAAUUACUGGGCGUAAAGCGCGCGUAGGCGGUUUAGUAAGUCGGAUGUGAAAGCCCUGGGCUCAACCUGGGAAUUGCAUUCGAUACUGCUGGACUAGAGUAUGGUAGAGGGAAGUGGAAUUUCCGGUGUAGCGGUGAAAUGCGUAGAUAUCGGAAGGAACACCAGUGGCGAAGGCGACUUCCUGGGCCAAUACUGACGCUGAGGUGCGAAAGCGUGGGGAGCAAACAGGAUUAGAAACCCCGGUAGUCC